ensembl:lncRNA
GUCUUUCUCAGCGUAAUGUUACUCCUUCCACAAUCCAGAGCCCACCUAACCAUCCUCCACAGCCAAAGGGCAGGCUUGUUCCUGAUACUGUGAUCACAUUUUGCUUACUAAUGUGGCUUUGAUGUGAAGCAAGAUGUGUAUUCCUUUAACAAUUUAGUUAGUACAUCCAAAAUGAGGAAGGUCAUUGAAGUGUAAUGGGUGGCUGCAAGACAGGUUCUCCUCUCAGAUUUAGGAAAUAUUAUAUAGAUAGGAGCCAUGUGUUUCAUAAUAAUGCUUAUGUUUAGUAAGAAUUGAAGUUUAUGCUUUAAGGACGGAUUUCUAUUAAGUAUUGUGCACUCAAGAAGUGGGUUAGGAGCAUCUGCAAAAGUCAGGGUGAAGGAAUUGGCAUUUCACCUGAAGAGGAGAGGAAGAGAAGCUGCAAAGAAGAGUGAACACAGUGAAUAUUUCAGCUCCAGAUUUCUAGUUUCAGUGCAGAGUGUAGGAGCCACGGGAAAUGUCAGGCAAGGGGCUGUGAUGCCAGAGGUCUGUGUUGCAAUACCUAAGUUGAACAGAUUCCUCCAAGCAGAUGCCGUGAGCUUGAGUUCAUGAGCCUUUGCUCUGCGUGGGGAAUGGUUGGCAGCUGAAAGGAUGUGCACUUUUUGCUGAAAUAGGCCUGAGCCUUUACAUUUUUUACACAUGAACUUACGUUUUAAGGCUCACCCUAGGCGUAUAAAACAAACGCUUUUUUUAAAGCACGUAAAUCAAGUUGGAUGUCAACUGGAAUUUCCCAGGAGAAUAUUCAUAUUCAGUGACUGAAAGGAUUUAUUCUCUGUUUACAUUUAUGAGAUUUGGCAACAGUUAAUGGAAGUAGAAAAGUCAGCUAUCUUCUUUUAUAGCAGGUGCUUUGUGAAGUUCCAUAUUGCUCUGGAUUUCAGAGACAGAUGCUGCUUCAUGUACCCAGGAUCUCUUUCAAAUUCAGCUAAUUCAGAUCAGGAAGCUGACCCAACUCAUCAUUUGUUGCACAACGACUGGAGCUGGCAGGACAGGGAACUGCAGCCAGAAACCGCAAGUAAUGCUCGUUUGGCACCAAUAUGGUCUUCGGUGGACUUCAGGAUUUGAUUUUAUAAUGCACUAAUUAGCACCAAGGACAGUGGUUAAUAAAAAAGCACCUUCAGUAGUUUGAAAAACAACAUGGCGUGGUAUUCCAGGACCCAGCUGCAGAUGGUCAUGCUUAGAACCAUCUAAGCAUCCUAUGGAAAGGAUUGUUAGUUUAAACUGACCACGAGAGGUGGUUUGCCACCACUAUAGGUAGAAAAGCGAGGCAUAGAAUAACUGAAUAAAACACAAAAUAAAACUGUAAGGUAAAGUCAAUAGAGAAUUCCCAUUGUGCUUCCUUUUACCAAUUUCUCCAGUAUUUUUCAGAACAGACUAGAAAAAUAUUAAAAAAAAAAAAGUUUAAUGACAAUUUACAAAUAUACAAUACUUACAUUUUCAAAAGUUACAAAAAUGGUACUUUAACAGAAACCAAAAGCUUCAUCUGACCUUUGGUACAUUUCAAAAUUAGUUAUUUACAAAGAAAAAAAUCACAGUCACUUUUCAUAGUGUCAAUGUUUACAUGUAAGCAUCCCUCAGUUAAAAAACAUCUCACAGCUUACCCACAGGCACUUUUUGCAGUUUGAGCUCUGCACCCAUCCAUCACAUUGAGAAUUCUAUCAGCCCCCGUUAAGCUGACAUGACAUUGCAUUAUUAUGUUUUAACAGACUUUAGUUUGAAGAAUAUGUAUAACCAUCACGCUAAACUGAUUCACAGUUGGUGACAUUUCACCUGGUGCAUUUUGUAUUGCUUAUGGCUUGGUACAAUGACACAGGCUUCCUUUUCUAAUUAGCUUGUAAUACACGUUAAGAAAAAAAAAAAUGGACUAAUUUUAUUAGGUAGUAUAAUUCCAUCUCUUCAUAGAGGAAAUUAAAAACAAAAGUGUUCUUCCCAUGCUGUUAUUUCACCUCAUGAAAUUUGUAUAUUAAACCCUUUCUUCACCAUGCACAAUUUUUGCCUAAAGGUAACAGACAAACAGAUGAAGGCUUCCAAAACCUAUUCAUUUCUAUUACUUUUCCCAUUAGUGGACGUUUUCUAGUUUGAACUUAUUUUAACUCAAACUUUAGAAAUUUCCCUUGAGAGCAAACACAAGUAUUGUUUUGUCUGUGUGUGCUUGAGUGUCUUCCUUUAGUUUAAAAUAUUUCCAAUAAAAGAAAUACAGCCAAAAUACAUACAGCCCAUUUUUGAAGCCUCUAACUUAUUAGCGUACACAAUUUUUUCACGUGGUCAUGAUUUUUAGAGCAUGUAACUUCAAUGCGUAACAGAAUGGGAACUCAAAAAGCCUUGAAAUUCAUUGUUUUGAGGACAGUUUGGGACUACACGUUUCCCACAGGUAUGUUUUAGUUAAGACUAAAUACCACCAGAAUAUUAGUUACGGUUCAGGAUCAGGAUCUUUUUUUAAACCAAGAAAUAAGAAAAGCUUGCUGUCAGCAACUGUGGGUGCAGCUUAAAAUGUCUUCCAUCGUUACAACAUUGCCCUCCCAAGAACUUAGAAACUC